UACGGGGGGUGCGAGCGUUAUUCGGAAUUACUGGGCGUAAAGAGCGCGUAGGCGGUCUUUUAAGUCAGGUGUGAAAGCCCGGGGCUCAACCCCGGAAGUGCACUUGAAACUAAGAGACUUGAGUAUGGGAGAGGGAAGUGGAAUUCCUGGUGUAGCGGUGAAAUGCGUAGAUAUCAGGAGGAACAUCAGUGGCGAAGGCGACUUCCUGGACCAAUACUGACGCUGAGGCGCGAAGGCGUGGGUAGCAAACGGGAUUAGAAACCCCAGUAGUCC
rnacentral:rRNA from 1 species